rnacentral:rRNA from 1 species
CCUACGGGUGGCAGCAGUGAGGAAUAUUGGUCAAUGGGCGGGAGCCUGAACCAGCCAAGUCGCGUGAGGGAAGACGGUCCUACGGAUUGUAAACCUCUUUUGCCGGGGAGCAACGGGGUCCUUGCGAGGGCCCGAUGAGAGUACCCGGAGAAAAAGCAUCGGCUAACUCCGUGCCAGCAGCCGCGGUAAUACGUAGGGAGCGAGCGUUAUCCGGAAUUAUUGGGCGUAAAGGGUGCGUAGAUGGCAUAGUAAGUCUUUUGUAAAAAUGCUGGGCUCAACCCAGUAGGGCAAAAGAUACUGCAAAGCUAGAGUAUGACAGAGGCAAGUGGAACUACAUGUGUAGCGGUAAAAUGCGUAAAUAUAUGUAAGAACACCAGUGGCGAAGGCGGCUUGCUGGGUCGAUACUGACAUUGAGGCACGAAAGCGUGGGGAGCAAACAGGAUUAGAUACCCUAGUAGUC